rnacentral:rRNA from 1 species
UACGAAGGGGGCUAGCGUUGCUCGGAAUCACUGGGCGUAAAGCGCACGUAGGCGGAUCUUUAAGUCAGGGGUGAAAUCCCGGAGCUCAACUCCGGAACUGCCUUUGAUACUGAGGGUCUCGAGUUCGGGAGAGGUGAGUGGAACUGCGAGUGUAGAGGUGAAAUUCGUAGAUAUUCGCAAGAACACCAGUGGCGAAGGCGACGACCUGGUCCGAUACUGACGCUGAGGCGCGAAAGCGUGGGGAGCAAACAGG